rnacentral:rRNA from 1 species
UACGUAGGGGGCAAGCGUUGUCCGGAUUUAUUGGGCGUAAAGAGCGUGUAGGCGGCCAGGUAGGUCUGCUGUGAAAACUCGAGGCUUAACCUCGAGCUGUCGGCGGAAACCAUCUGGCUAGAGUCCGGAAGAGGAGAAUGGAACUUCCCGGUGUCGAGCGGUGAAAUGCGCAGAUAUCGGGAAGAACACCCGUGGCGAAGGCGGUUCUCUGGGACGGUACUGACGCUGAGACGCGAAAGCGUGGGGAGCGAACAGG